UGUAAAUUUUAAAAGUAAGAAUACAUUAAAAUACCCACCGUACACAGCAAUCAACGAUGUACAUUCAAACCGUUUGCGUACAUUGGUUUUGUAUAAUUUACGAACAUCUAAUUAUAAAAUACAAUGGUUAUUAGACAACCUAUUUUCCUGCAUCAUGUUUUCUUGUUACGUAGCAAUACUAAACAGAACCAUUUUUAAUCUUUAUUGCGUCGUUAUUACAUCACUUUUAGUUAGUCUAGUAGUUAGACUGUCUAAUAGGUUAGGUUGUCUCCCCUCCCCCUCCUUACGACAUUAGUCUGGAUCCGCUCUUGAGCCCACUUGUUUUGAGUCUAUGUAAAUGAUUUAAAUAAAGCUUCUAACCUUAUGAGUAUAACCUUAUGUUUGUGGACAAUACUAAUUUAUUUCUGUCAAGCAAUCGCAUUUAAAAGCCUUUUUCAAAUAUGAAUAAAGAACUCAAUCACAUCUCCAACUGGUUUAAGUGCAACAAGUUAACUUAAAACAUUAAUAAAACAAAACGGGUCCUUUUCCACUCCCUCGCAAAAAAGCAAAUAAUUUACCUAAAAAUUUUAUUGAUAAAAUAAAAAAGGAAUCAGUCACAAGAUUUUUAGGCAUUUACAUUGAUGAAAAUAUUCCAUGGAAGUAUUAUAUCGACUUUAUUUCUACUAAAUAGGCCAAAAGUAUUGGAAUUCUAAUUAAGGUUAGAUACUAAGUAAACAAAAUUCAACUCAACUCUACUACUCAUUUAUUCAUAGCUAUAUAAAUUAUACAAAUAUUGUUUGGGGAAGUACCACUAAAAGUAAGUUACAAAAUCUCUACCAUCGCAAUAUGCGUCACUUAGCGGAAAUAAGAGGGGGAAUUUUAGAGUUAAAAACCACAUGUUUUUGUCCGCAAAGAUUAAUGGAUUGAAUCAUGUUACUUCAGAGUAGGAGUGCGACGCUAAAUGCAUCGUCAGAAACACGCAAUUCGUUUAAUAUGUUUUGAAAAUCGUUUAUCUCUUUUAAAUAUUUUAUUUGAAAAACGAUAAACCACUUAAGGUUUACGAACUAAUUGUCUAUAAU